GAUCGGCAGCGCAUAUUUGCGCAGCUGCAGGUUCGUCGGGGAGAAGCGGCAGCGCAGAUUUUUCGACGAACAUGGGCUGGACGAUGGACUGUCCAGGCCAGGCAGGAAAAUUCGUCCAGGGGACACGCUGACGAAACAGCGCUGGCUUAGACACUGGGGCAGUGGCAGCCCGCGGGACAGUGUCGGCAGAUUCGG